rnacentral:lncRNA from 1 species
CAAAACAGAGGUUUGGGAGUAUUCAAAGUUGGUAUUAUAAGCUAACUUUACUCUGUUGUCUUGGUGUUUCUGGGCUCAGUCUUGUUUUUUGUUUAUUGAACUACUUCUAUUGGCAUAGAAACGAUUGGACUGAGGAAAAGCUAGUGACCCUUUUUGAUUUAGCCAUUAGAACACUUGCUUGGGGUGCUCUUUGUGUCUACUUGCAUACCCAGUUCUCUAAUUCUUCUGAAUCAAAGUUUCCAAAUUUAUUGAGAGUUUGGUGGGGUUCCUACUUUUCUAUCUCUUGCUAUUCCCUUGUGAUAGAUAUUCUUCUGUACAAGGAACACGUUUCCUUGCCCGUUCAAUCUUUUGUUUUUGAUGUUGUCUGCGUCAUCUCGGGUUUGUUCUUUAUAUUUGUGGGGUUUUUUGGGAAGAAAGAGGGCAGAAAUACCGUUCUUGAGGAACCCCUUUUGAAUGGUAAUGGUAAUGCAGUGUCAAAUAAUUCCAAAGGGGGUACACCUGUUACCCCUUAUUCAAAUGCUGGAAUUUUCAGCAUCCUUACUUUUUCUUGGAUGGGUCCUCUAAUUGCGGUUGGCAAUAAGAAGACAUUAGACCUUGAGGAUGUUCCUGAACUAUACAAGGGUGAUAUGUAGCUGGGUCCUUUCCAAUUUUUAGAAAUAAANNNNNNNNNNNNNNNNNNNNNNNNNNNNNNNNNNNNNNNNNNNNNNNNNNNNNNNNNNNNNNNNNNNNNNNNNNNNNNNNNNNNNNNNNNNNNNNNNNNNNNNNNNNNNNNNNNNNNNNNNNNNNNNNNNNNNNNNNNNNNNNNNNNNNNNNNNNNNNNNNNNNNNNNNNNNNNNNNNNNNNNNNNNNNNNNNNNNNNNNNNNNNNNNNNNNNNCAUUUAUGAUUGCGAAGCUGGUGGAGUGCCUCUGUCAAAGGCACUGGUUCUUUAAGGUACAACAGGUAGGAGUAAGAAUCCGAGCGGUACUUGUUACAGCGAUCUAUAAUAAGGGUUUGACCCUGUCAUGCCAGUCCAAGCAGGGCCACACUAGCGGAGAGAUUAUCAAUUUUAUGACUGUUGAUGCUGAGAGGGUUGGUGACUUCUCUUGGUACAUGUAUGAUCCAUUGAUGGUCAUUCUACAAGUUGGCUUGGCCCUAGUGAUUUUGUACAUAAAUCUUGGUCUUGCAGCCAUUGCAACUUUAGUUGCAACAAUAAUUGUUAUGUUGGCAAAUGUUCCAUUGGGGUCCUUGCAGGAGAAGUUUCAGGAAAAGUUAAUGGAGUCGAAAGAUAAAAGGAUGAAGGCAACAUCUGAGGUCUUGAGGAACAUGAGGAUUCUCAAGCUUCAAGCAUGGGAGAUGAAGUUUUUGUCUAAAAUUAAUGAGCUCAGGAAGACUGAGGCGGGAUGGUUACGAAAGUUUGUUUACACGUCUGCCAUGACCUCAUUUGUUUUCUGGGGUGCCCCCACAUUUGUGUCAGUGGUCACGUUCGUUGCUUGCAUGCUUUUGGGGAUCCCACUUGAGUCGGGGAAGAUCUUAUCUGCACUUGCAACAUUCAGGAUUCUUCAAGAGCCUAUCUACGGUCUUCCAGACUUAAUUUCAAUGAUAGCACAAACUAAGGUAUCCCUUGAUAGAAUUGCAUCAUUCCUUAGUCUUGAUGACUUGCCUCCUGACGUUAUAGAGAACCUUCCAAGAGGUAGUUCUGAUACAGCAAUUGAGAUAGUCGAUGGGAAUUUCUCUUGGGAUUUAUCAUCCCCUAGUCCAACAUUGAAGGAUCUAAAUUUCAAAGUGAGCCAAGGUAUGAGGGUUGCUGUUUGUGGUACUGUUGGCUCAGGCAAGUCUAGCUUACUUUCUUGUAUUCUGGGAGAAGUUCCGAAGAUAUCGGGGACUCUUAAAAUGUGUGGGACAAAGGCCUAUGUUUCUCAGUCACCGUGGAUACAGAGUGGCAAGAUAGAGGAAAACAUAUUGUUUGGUCAAGAGAUGGACAGAGAAAGAUAUGAGAGGGUGCUUGAAGCAUGUUCAUUAAAGAAGGACCUGGAAAUUCUAUCGUUUGGUGAUCAGACAAUUAUAGGGGAGAGGGGAAUCAAUUUAAGUGGUGGACAGAAGCAAAGAAUACAAAUUGCACGUGCUCUGUAUCAAGACGCUGAUAUUUAUCUGUUUGAUGAUCCUUUUAGCGCUGUUGAUGCUCAUACAGGAUCACACCUUUUUAAGGUAUUUCAUUUCCCUCUUGUAGUGUGAUUACAUCUAGUUUAAAUUGAGUAUCCAAACUUAUUUACAUCAUAGAAUUACUGGCAUCCGUAAAAUUGACAGUUCAUUAUUAAUUUGUUUGCUUGAUAAUUGCACUACAGGAAUGCUUGCUGGGUCUCUUGGGUUCAAAAACAGUAAUCUUUGUUACUCAUCAAGUGGAGUUCUUACCUGCUGCUGACCUCAUCUUGGUAAAAAAUCCAGAGCUUUUCUUAGAAUUUUAAUCUAUAAGAUAUGUUAUUAUCUAGUUAGUAUCUGUCUGCUUAAACUUAUUUGUUUGUCAUUAGGUCAUGAAAGACGGAAGGAUUACUCAAGCAGGAAAGUUCAAUGACAUUCUUAAUUCAGAAACUGAUUUUAUGGAACUUGUGGGAGCACACGCGGAAGCUUUGUCCGUGCUUAAUUCUGCAGAGGUGGAGCCAGUAGAAAAAAUAAGCGUUAGCAAAGAAGAUGGAGAAUUUGCUAGUACUAGUGGGGUUGUCCAAAACGUAGAAGACACUGAUGUUCAAAAUUCUAAAACAGAUGAUUUACCAAAAGGGCAGCUUGUUCAAGAAGAAGAGAGAGAGAAAGGUAGAGUUGGGUUGUCAGUCUACUGGAAGUACAUCACCACAGCAUACGGAGGUGCUCUUGUUCCGUUUAUCUUGCUUGCACAGGUUCUCUUUCAGGUCCUUCAAAUUGGAAGCAAUUACUGGAUGGCUUGGGCAACUCCUGUUUCAGAGGAUGUGAAACCUGCUGUUGAAACCUCUACACUUCUAACUGUUUAUGUUGCUUUGGCCGUUGGAAGUUCUUUUUGUAUCCUCUUCAGAUCCAUGUUUCUUGCAACAGCUGGGUACAGGACAGCGACUCUACUUUUUAGUAAAAUGCAUUCAUGCGUUUUCCGUGCUCCCAUGUCUUUCUUUGAUGCCACUCCAAGUGGACGAAUCCUAAACAGAGUAAGCAAAAUAUAUUUCUAAUAUAGAAUUAGAUGCUUUAAACAGACCACUCCCUCUGCUGCUGUACUGAAUGCAGUAAUCUCAUCAAUGUAGCAAAUUGAUUUCUUGCAGGCUUCUACAGACCAAAAUGUAGUGGGCUUCUACAGACCAAAAUGUAGUGGACUUGAACAUGCCGGGUCAAAUUGGGGCCCUUGCCAACUCAUUGAUCCAGCUUCUGGGAAUUAUUGCAGUGAUCUCGCAAGUUGCUUGGCAGGUUUUCAUCAUUUUUAUCCCUGUGAUUGCAAUCUGUAUCUGGUUACAGGUAACGCUUCUUUGUCCUACUGCUUCUAUCUUAUAUGUUGUAUCAAUACAUGAAUUUCCACAUGAAAUCUAACAUGGAAAUGUUAAUGUCCCUUUAGUGUUAAUUCUUUGUUGAUCAUGCACUGUUGAUGCUCGUUAUUCAUUCCUAUACAUGCUCUACCUUCUAUUUGAUGUGGAACUGAGGAACUUGGCUUCCUUAUUGACACAAAAGUUCACUAAGUUGAUACAUUAACAUUUUCUUCCACCUUUUUCCGCUACAGUUCUUAGAAACUUCUAAAUUGGCACAACAUGGAACAUGAUUGACAAUAUGAAUCCAUAUAACAAACCUAACUCCUAUUACAGCCAGCAAUCUAUAUGAACUAUGUUAAAUGUGAAGAAAGAUGCUCAAAAUUUUUAUAUUCAUGCAGCAAUACUACAUACCUUCAGCACGAGAACUGGCACGGUUGGUUGGGGUAUGCAAAGCUCCAGUGAUACAACACUUUGCUGAAACAAUUUCAGGUUCGACAACUAUUAGGAGCUUCAAUCAAGAAUCAAGAUUUAGGGAUACAAACAUGAAACUGAUGGAUGGUUAUGGUCGGCCUAAGUUUCAUACUGCGGCUGCAAUGGAGUGGCUAUGUUUUCGCUUGGAUAUGUUGUCAUCUAUAACUUUUGGAUUCUGUUUGGUUUUCUUGAUCUCUAUUCCAGCAGGGGUGAUUGAUCCAGGCAAGUGGCAUUCAUUUAGUGUGUUACUAAUUAUUCUUUUGAAAGCAAAUGGUAAAGCAAAUCUAUGAGUUCUCUCUUUUCUUAUUUGUUUUUGGUAUUUUACUCUGAAGGUGUUGCGGGCUUAACUGUCACAUAUGGACUUAAUCUAAACACGUUACUGGCGUGGUUUAUAUGGAAUCUUUGCAAUGUAGAGAACAGAAUUAUAUCAGUGGAGAGAUUACUACAGUACACUACCCUUCCCAGUGAGCCUCCUCUUGUAAUAGAAUCCAAUCAGCCAGAUCGUUCUUGGCCAUUACGUGGAAAAGUUGACAUACAUGAUCUUCAGGUACUUGCUGUUCUGGUUUAUUUAUUUCAUAACAUAUGGGGUCAUUCAUGUGUGACUCGAAUUUCAUGUUCAUAUAGGUCCGUUAUGCCCCACACAUGCCGCUUGUGUUGCGAGGUAUCACAUGUACCUUUCCUGGAGGAAUGAAAACUGGGAUUGUGGGUAGAACUGGCAGUGGCAAAUCGACUCUCAUACAGACCCUUUUCCGAUUGUGGAUCCUGCUUCUGGGCCAGAUUUUGAUAGAAUGGGUAUGAUAUAUCUCAUGGACUGCAUGAUCUAAGNNNNNNNNNNNNNNNNNNNNNNNNNNNNNNNNNNNNNNNNNNNNNNNNNNNNNNNNNNNNNNNNNNNNNNNNNNNNNNNNNNNNNNNNNNNNNNNNNNNNAUCUGGACCCACUUGAAGAGUACACAGAUGAGCAAAUUUGGGAGGUUGGUUGGUUUUACACUGAUGAAAGGAAGCUUCUUCCUACUAAAUGUUCUUCAUUAAUAGAUUUGCAGUGGUAAAUUCGUGGGACUAGUUAAAACAUCUUUUGAUUUUUUCAGGCCCUGGAUAAGUGUCAACUUGGAGAUGAAGUUAGGAGAAAGGACGGAAAGCUGGAUGCCACAGGUUUGUUCUAUGGCUACUCUAAGAUACAGGCUAUAUAUGAUGCACUAGAUUCCAUUUUACGUCAUGGAAAUUCUUUUGUUUAUGUUUCAUAUGGUUGCUGCAGUUAGUGAGAAUGGAGAGAACUGGAGUAUGGGUCAGAGGCAGUUGGUCUGCCUUGGCCGUGUGCUGCUCAAGAAAAGUAAGGUCUUGGUGCUUGACGAAGCUACCGCGUCGGUCGAUACAGCUACAGAUAAUCUCAUCCAGCAGACCCUUCGCCAACACUUUACUGACUGUACAGUCAUCACUAUUGCACAUCGUAUAACUUCUGUUCUUGAUAGUGACAUGGUUCUGCUUCUGAGUCAUGGUUAGUAUUGCCAUAUGAAUGCAUUCAACUUCCUCUAGCUACCACUGAACCUCACCUUUUUAUUCAUUUUUAAUUGUAUCUUUGUUCUUGUUGUAGGUCUUAUUGACGAAUAUGAUUCUCCUGCAACCUUGCUCGAGAACAAGUCGUCAUCUUUUGCUCAGCUUGUGGCAGAGUACACAAUGAGGUCGAAUUCCAGUUUUGAGUAGUUCGACUGACAAUUGAAAUUCCAAAUCUUCAUUAUGAACUACUCAACUUGGUAGCUGUUUUCAUAAUGACGAAACAUAAGCGGUGAGGUCCAAAGCAAUAGAACUGGGUGAUCAAGUUAAAGUUUGCAGUGUAUUUUAGGCUAUAUUCUGCUGCAAAUAUUGUAUGGUUAAGUACUUUCAAGUAAUUUUGAUACUGAGAGCUCAAUAUAGGUGUGAAAUUUUGUGGUCGAAUAAAGUAAUUGUAAGUUGAUUGAACUCCUAUGCAAAACAUCCUCUCAUUGAAUAGAUAAAUGGCUCUGUAAUUGGAAAAUUUUGUAAGUAAAUUCAUCGGUCCCUCUACUUGUCCAAGACAAUGCGUCGUAGACUAUAUUAGAAGUAGAUAUUCCAGAACCGUAUCCCAAAAGACUUUGGUUAGACAAACCCACUAGUUAGCUACACUAAAGAAGGGGAUGACACUGUAGGAAACCCACCAAAGAUUUUAGUUUGAAUAAUUUUCCUACUGAAUGAUGAUUCUCCCUUUGAAAAUCACAAUUCCUCCACUAGAUGAGGAGAAGUUCACAAUUCUUUGGGUUAACGGGUGGACCAUGUCAUGAAUCCAUCCACACAAAAAUAAGGAGAAUCCUUAAUUUCACCCAAAUUCUCGGAAUUCCUUUAUUUUGAUGUGCAAAUGAGUGACGUGGUCCACUCGAUGAAACAAAAAAUUUCACACAAAAGAUACCUCGACUAGAGGUUCGAUAUUAGUUUAUCACCUAUUGAAAAGGUAACAACUUGCACCCGAAAUCGCACUUUGUUAUAAGUAAGUAUGCAAAAAUAAUUAACCACCUCCAAAAGCACUUUGGUAAAGGUAAGUUAUAUUUGGUAAGUUAUAUAUAUAUCUGUAUUAUAGGGUACUACAACAGUUUAUUAUCUACCCUCCUAUAUUCACCUUCCCUCUAGUAUACAACAUAUAUACUUGGCAAAGUGUAUACCUGCCCCAUAGGUUAAUAUAUAAUGGUUGAUUGCCUACUCAAAAGUCCUUCCCUGUCUUUUUCUUGCUCAUUUUCUCGCCAUUAAUAAUGCGCCAUAUUGCAUGCAAUUAUGCAAAGAGCAACAACAUCUAUUUAUACUUGCAAGAAAUAGUAACAUAGCUCUCACACCAUCACCCAUCUUGCUCAUCCUGACCCCGCAACCAAAAACAUAAUAUCAAUUAAAAGACAGAUAAGAAAGCACUAGGAAGAAACAGAAAUCGAUUCAUCACAUAUAUGGUGCUUCGAAGUCGAUUCAAUAAUUCUCAUACAUGAGAAAGCUCGUUCCAUUGUUGCUGUACAUAGAAACCAAGGAAAACAAGGUCGAAAAUUAUUGAUUUCUAUCAAUUAGGAAAUAAGAAAAACAAAAUGCCUAGUUCUUUGCAACCGAAUACUCAAGCCAAGAGAAUUGGCCAAACCACUUUUUAUUANNNNNNNNNNNNNNNNNNNNNNNNNNNNNNNNNNNNNNNNNNNNNNNNNNNNNNNNNNNNNNNNNNNNNNNNNNNNNNNNNNNNNNNNNNNNNNNNNNNNGCACAUUAUAUGGAUAAUGUUCUAACUCAGGUUGACAUGGCCCUAAAAGAAUAUAUGUUAUUCGCACAUUAUAUUGUUCCUUUACCUAAUAUUUGCAUAUUAGAUGACGUACUCCUGGAUCACCGUUCAAGAUAGUUGAUAUUUGUAUUAGAUGAUGUCCCAUCAUUCUUUUUCUUAAAAAAAAAGACAACAAGCUCUGAAUUUUCUUGGGUUUUCGAUUGUGAUUCGACAUAAUAAAAGAUAACCUAUAAAAUAAAUACUAUAUAGAAAUGAUUUUAAUCAAACAUCUCAACAAUACCAACAACAAAUUAAACACCUCAACAAAAUUCCUAAAAUCAAAGUCCUAAUUCAUUUCAACAAAAUCUCAAAAUAAUAAGUCAUUCCUAAUUAAACCCUAGAACAUUUUCUAUUCAAAUUAAAGAUGCAUAAGAUAAUUAAAAAGGAGAGAAUGAGAAGAAUACUUGCUGUUGCAAAGAAGAGAAGUUGUUGGCUACAAAGAAGUUGAGCGGAGUUGUUGGCAGUGGUUGCAGAGAAGUUGCUUAUAUCUGUUUUGCAAAGGAGGAGAAGAAUUGCACAGGAGGAUGGGAUUGGUGGAUAGGUUUGUGACAGGACCCGAUCCAAAUUCCACUUUGGAAUCCGAGCCAGACCCUGUGCGUGUCCGACACCUGGCGAAUGUCGGGCACAAAUGAUCUAUUUGCCCUUCUAUACAAACAUGCUAAAAAUAAUAAGGUUGACUUCUACCGAAAAACCGGCAGAGUUUCCCUUGUAUCUGGCUCAAUACCAAAAUCUUACACCUGUCAAAACAAGUAUAUAUGUACAACCAACUGCCAGCAUACAUAUAUAUAUUCCAACAGUUCAAAUCUCAGUCUAGGGCAAAACAUCAGAGCGACUACUAAAAAUUUACAAAAGAGUGAAUCUUUGUACAAAAUACAAAUCCUACAUCAAAGAAAGGCGCGGAAGAUGGGAAGUGGCCCGGUGGUGGAUUCCUGUGCACGUCUACUGCCUGGGGGCGCAAAACAACAAGAAGGGUGAGUGGACCCAAAACAAAGCGUAGAAAAUAAUAUAUGAACAUACUAACCCCACUGUAAACUAACUUAUUUUCUUUAUUUCUGAAAUCCAUGCAUGUAUAUAACUAUACAUUUGAAAACAGUUGAAAACUAUCACCUAGGUGUACCCCUAUUUCCGUCAAAUCCUUAUAUCCGUCAAUUCCUUGCAUCACCAUGGGUGACACAUACUCGCAGGUCUCAGUGACACGAAGUCAGUCCGAGCCGCAACUCGCAGGAUUCAGGGGACCGUAGUCCACCUUUAUCCGCAUUACUCGCUCCACACGAGUUCGAGUACCAAGGAACUCGUGAGGCAACUGUCAAGCAUGCUGACUAAACCGAAGGUAACAAAUAUAAACCGAAGGCAACAUUUAAUAACUGGGUACAAGGUGAUUUAAGAAAAUAUAAAGUUUCUAAAGAAAAUCUUAUGAAUAAUUAACUUUCUGUAACCUUUAAAAUUCUGCUGCCAUUUAUCUGAUAAUUAACGAGAAUAUCUUUUCCUAUAUUCUUAAAAGGAAACUUCACUCAGCAGCAUGUAACAUAAAAUAUUUAACAGCAUAAAACAGCUUAUAACUGAAAUUGAACUGCUUAACUGAAACUGAACUGAUUAAAUUCAUUUAUAAAAACAAAGAGUCCACUCACUGAUAGUCUGAGCUCGCUGGACCUCUUGAAGGUCCCUCCUGCGGGUCAACUGGUGCCCGGGUGCCUGAUUCAAUGACCAUAAUAUUCUAUUAAUACAAUAUAGUAUUAAAUUAAAACAAAAACCCUACCCCCGGCUCCUAAAAGUACGUGCGUCAAUUUAAAGUGAUCCCUAUGCCCACAACAGCUUUCCUUCCACGUGGGAUAGUUUAGCGAUAUCUUGGGACUCAAAAAGCGCUAAAGUCCAAAAAGUCUAUCCGGAACCCCACGGGUAUAAUAUGAUCCGGAUGCCGCUAAAAGGUCCAAUAUAUUUAGGACACAUGUCCCGAGGGUAUUGGUGUCAAUCGGACGGUCGGAUUGAUCACGAUCGUGUAAUCACAUAAUUUCUAAACCCUAGCCCUAGGGUUCGCGAUUUCGGAGUAUCCGGGACUCCGAUUCGCCAUCCGUCGAAUCCUACACAAUCCUGAAAUCAUGUAGACCGACAUAUCCAAAAUUCAGUGUGAUCCACCGAUUUGGCGACACUGCACCCAAAGAUCGCGCGAUAUGAAAAAUCCGUUCGGGGCUCAAACGAACUCCGAAUCGAGAUCCGCGAAAUCCUACGUGCUCGUGACGACACGAGGGUCACAAAACUGUACAACAUGACUUCACCACCCUCGCCCAUGCGCCCCAGCACGCGCGGGCAGAUUCGGGUGUCUUAAGCGAUUUCGGGUGGCCAAAAAAUCUCGGAACCAGGACUCCAAACUCUUAUCCUAGGUAAAACACCCCAUUUGGAGUCACUUUUGUUCUUGGACCUACCCCAAAAAGUGACUGGAAGUGGCCGAAAACAGAGGCCGAAAAUCGGCUGAAACUUCAAUUUAUAAACUGGGCAAUCUACGGCUAAAAUUGAUAAAAACCUAUCCAACCAUCAGCUAGAGCACGAAAAAUAGAUGAGAAUCCAUACCUUACUCGAAAGAUUUGGUUGAGAAUUGAGGGAGAACGAGCGGUUGGAAGUUGUGACAAAACCGACUCGUUUUUGGACGGAAUCCGGCGACUACAGCGGCGGCUGGCAGCAGGGAGCGGUCGGGGCUUGAAGACGGAACCGAGCUGGUUCUAUUGGCGCCGACGGCAAGGGCAUAGGUGGUCGGUGGCGGAAGUUAUGGUGCUUGGAAGGUGACGGCUGAGGAAGGCAACGGGAGAGAGAGAGAGAGAGAAGCUGAGGUUUAUAAAAAAAAAUCUGAUUUUUCUAAUUACCAUUUUGCCCCUCGUGAUAUUUUAAUCGUAUUUUCUUCGUUACAACUCCGAUUCGAGCUUACUUCGUGUCUAUGAACUCAUGUCGUCGUGCUCUACGCAACGGUGUAUGUGGAAUUGUCAAAUUCCUUUUCGGUCAAAAAGUCAACAUUGAGUUCAUAAGUGAGUCAAAGGGCAAAAUUGUCUUUCCGCAUAAUAAAUUACUAAUUACAUGUGAAUUUUAGGUUUGGGUCUUUACAUUUGUAUAGGUUUAAUUUAAGUAGGCUAGACAUAUGUAGUGUAGGUUAUAUUUUUUUUAACAGAAAUUUGUGGUGGGUUGUGAAGGAGCAGAGGGAGAGCUAUUUGCUCCACCGUUAUAGAUAGAGUGAGAAAAUUGGAGUGCAGUAAUUGGGUGUGAGGCUUGGUACUACAAACAACUUCUCUUCGCAUGAUUGCACAAAACCCCGCAUACGAGAGACUCAAAGAGAGAAGCCUUUUGUGCAUGGAAGUUCAUAUUUUCCAGCGAAAAAAAAAAAAAUUUCCAUGUGAAAAAUCUCAUAGGUUAGGGUGAGAUUUGAGAUAGGGUUUGGUAUUUAUACCUCCGACUAAAAAGUCCCACACAAUUCCACAUUUUAAAAAAUCUUUCGAAAUUAGCAAGUUUUUCAAUACCAUAAGACUUUUUGUUACUUGUUUAAAGUCUUGAUUGAAUACCAUGUGAUUUCGAUACCCUCUUUUAAAAAUCCUAAUAGUCUUAAUGGAAUACCACAAGACUUAUUUAGAUUAUUUAAAAGUCUUAAUUGAAUACCAAAUGACUUUUUUAUCCCAAAAUACUCUUUUAAAAUCUCAAUUGAAUACACUCCCUAAUGGACAAACUAAAAAAGAAACAAGCAAUCAGUUAUAUCAAUGCCAAAUGAUAUAAAUAGCUUCCCCCGUCUGUUGUAUUUGCCUUUUCUAUUCAAUGCCAAACGUUGUAAAUAGCUAAAUCAUUAUUACCCGAUUUAUGUCAUAAGGGCAUCAUUGGAACAAAAAUAAUUUUAAAAAUAAAAAAAUGAAAAGAUUACAUCCAAAUAUAUUUAAAAAUGAAUAUAAUCCUAUGUAGUACAAAAGUCAAAGGACUUAAAUCAAAGUCAUCAAAUUUGAAGAUUAAACCUAACUCCUCAAUAAAAAUUUGUAUCUAUAUCAACUUUUUAUGUUCUAAUUUUCAUAUUAUAAUUAAAAGGAAUUAUUUUUGGCUCUUAAAAAAAUCAUAAUGUAUUUUUCCCUUAUAUAAUUACAAAUGAUGAGUGCAAGAUGACAUUUUUUAUUGUCACUAACGUUGAAGAAUAUGAGUCCCACAUCGGAAAUUUAACUAAAUAAAAUACAAAAUAUAAUAAAUAGUUUUACUACUAAUAACACCGAGACCUUUUGUGAUAAAACCCCACACCUACUGAGCUUUGUAGGUGGUUAAGUUGGGGACACUAUCAGUGUUGCUAGUAGUGGGCCGCUGGCCCGUGUCUUUGAAAUUUAACAUGGUGUAUGAGUGGGUGGAUUGAUUGGGCCUGAAUUACUGGGCUUUUACCCUUACCAUUUACCCAACAUGUGGUGUUCACAUGUUGGACUUGAAUGUUUACCCUUAUCCAAUAUGUGGUGCUCACGUGUUGGGCUUGAAUGUUUGACUCCGAUGUGGACUUGGCUCCACAUGUGACCUACUGUUUCGCGUGCCCCAAAUUGGGUUUCUUCUCGGUAAGAUAUCGCAUUGGGCUGAGAAUUUAUUUGGGCCGAAGCGUGGAUUUUUUGGGCCUCAACACUAAUAACACUGAGGCCUUUUGUGAUAAAACCUCACACUUACUGAACUCUGUAGGUGGUUAAGUUAGGAACAUUAUCGGUGUUGCUAGUAAUGAGCCACUGGCCCGUCUCUCUGAAAUUUAAAAACUAACAGCUCCCGUUGACAAAAUCUUAUUUAUCAAUUUUCUUAUUUGAUCAAUAUCUCAUUUAGCUUACCUUAACAUUUUUGUUAAUUUUGAUCACAUGCCACCUACCCCUUUAAUUACAGUCCCGAGUGCCGACCAUGGCUAUCCAUUCCUGCCAUGCCCAAACCUUAAUUCCCCAAGUCACUUUGGCAUCGCAUAUAAAAUGAUUGUUUUGUGAUUACAUUUCUGCCAUGCCCAAACAAUUUUACAUAAUAAUUUUCCUAAAAAGGAUAUAUAUAGAAUAAUAUUAAUUUUGUUUAAACAUGUGUUGGGAUCAAGGUCUAAAAUAUCAAUGAUAUCGGAAAUAUAGGUAGUCCAAAAAUAUGAAAAUUUCGAUGGAAAUAUCGGGAUAUUAUUGAUAUCGAUAAAAAUUGAAUAAAAACCACGGAAAUUGUAAGAAAAACUUGGAAAUUUUUAUUGAAACUUUGGAGAAUGUUUAUUUAGUCAAUUAUCUAUGAGUUUAUUACAAAAGAUUAGAAGGAAAUGCAUUGCGUGAUGGAUUUAAGUAAUUUAAGUUGUUAAUUAAUGAAAAAAUAUUAAACACACCAUAAUCAUUUAUAUAUAAUGAUUUGCUACAAUAUUUUAUACUUUAUACAUUGCAUGGUAAGAUACAUGAGUGACUUAGUACCACAUAGAGUUCCUAUGAGGUUCAAAUUUUUCACUAUCUUCAUCAUCUCUAUGUGUAGAGUAAGUGUAUUGUGAAGAGUAGUCAUCAAAUGAUAAAUCCCAAAAAUAGUUUUGCAUGUAAUUAUUAACAUACCACCCAUAUAAAUAUAAAUAUUUUAGCAUAUUAUCACAAAAGCAUAAGUGAUAUGGUGUUUAAGGUGUUGGAGGAGUAAAAUGGGAGAGGUUCAUAUCCCCUUUGUGCUUUUUUCUACCCCUUUUUCCUUUUUUUUUUUUUACUUUUCUUUUCUCCCUUCACAUCGAUAUUAUUGUCGAUAUUUAUACGAUAUGUACAUGGAUAUGUUCCGAAAUAUCUGUGAUUCGAAAAAACCAAAAUAUCCUCGAUAUUUCGUCAAAAUUAUCGAUAUUUCAGACUAUGGUUGGGAUAAUGAAUUGGUGGUCUAUCUCUCUCUACCGUAGAUAUAAUGGAUUGGAAUUUGGAAUUUGGAAUCUCGGAGUGUACCACUUCACAUACUAGUCAAAACAUGUGUUGGGAUAUAAAAGAUAACAGUGAACUCUUUGAAUUUCGAAGUUCUUGUUGAAUGUUUUGUCCAAUAGGGGGAGGGUGUUAUGUUGACUUGUUGCCUACCAAUAAUACACAGGCUUCUAGUUUUCUUAUUUUCUUAUUUUACUUUAGUAAGUCCAACGUAUGAUUUAACACAAGAAGAUUCAAAAUUGUCAAUUAUCUUGCUGUGCACAGAAAACCAUAUUCACUGUUGACCCUGAGUCUCUUAAUUAAUUAAGAAGAUUUACUUCCUUGAUUAAUUAAGGGAUUUACUUUCUUAUUUUUAUAUAGUUGAUAAAUCAUUAUAUAAUUAGGAGAUGCUUUCCUAAUUCUUUACUGUAUCUAAUUCCUUAUAUAGCACAUGUAAACUCUUAUGUACACCUCCUUAUAGAGAAGAAUAAAAAUUACCUAAUACAUUCAAACCAUAUUCAUAUUUAAGCAUGAUAUCAGAGCAAUCGAUCCUCGGUUGUCUCUAAAUUCUCAUAUUAAAUUUUCUUCAAACACAAACCCUAAAUCCUCAUAUCAAAUUUCUUCAAACACAAACCUUAAAUCCCCAUAUCAAAUUUCUUCACACCCAAACCCUAAAUCAAAUUCCUCAUAUUUACAAUUUCAAAUUCAGAUCUUCAUACCCAAAUCUUCAUAUCCUCUUAUCACAAAACCCUAAACACAAAUUCUUUUUUUUUUUUUGUUCUCUUCUUCUUAAAUCCUUCCGCUGCCAUGAAUAUCGUUUCAUCUUCCCAAACUGCUGCCUUCACUUCCUCAUCCUCAAAAAUUGCCACAACAGGUUCCCGCGGUUAUGUUUUGCAUAGUUCUUCAAAGAAACACAUCUGGGUCAUUGACACCGAAGCCACUGAUCACAUGACCUUUGAUCCUGGACAACUUACCUCUCAUACACCGUCUUCUCAAUCGGUGGUGUCUAAUGCCAAUGGUAUCCCUUCCCUAGUAAUUGGGGAGUGUUCACUCUCUCUCUUUCUGACUCUCACUUUGGAUUCUGUGUUGAUUGUUCCAUCCUUACAUCAUAAUCUUUUGUCUGUUGCCCAAAUUACUACGGCUUUGAAUUGCACUGUAACCUUUUGGCCUACUCAUUGUGUUUUUCAGGACAUCCUCAGCAACAAGACUAUUGGUUGUAGUACUAAGAGGGGCAAACUCUACUAUCUAGACCUCGCCUCUGACAGUGAAGCUAGCCUCAGUCAAGCUUACAAAAUUGGGGGUACGAGUGUUGAGAAGUAAACUUCUGAAGUAUGGUUAUGGCAUCGACGUCUUGGACACGCGUCGUUUGGAUAUUUACAUAAGCUAUUUCCUUCCUUAUUUUCCCAGUUAGAUAUCUCCAGUUUUACUUGUGACAUCUGUGAACUAGCCAAGAGCUAUCGUGUUCCUUUUUCCUUAAGUUCCAUUUUCUCUUGUUCAAUCUGAUGUUUGGGGCCCGGCUAAAAUUACCACUCCUGAGGGUGCUAGAUGGUUUGUCACAUUUAUUGAUGAUUGCACACAUAUGACCUGGGUUUCUCUUCUCCAAACAAAUGGGGAAGUCAAUUCCAAAUUUCAACAUUCUAUCAAAUGGUAGAGACAUAAUUUCAUACCAGAAUUCAGGUUCUUUGGUCUGACAAUGGCGAAGAAUUUUUCAAUCAUGAUCUUAAUCAGUUCUUACAAGAUCAUGGCAUCAUACAUCAACGCGCAUGCCCUUACACUCCCCAACAUAAUGGUGUGGCUGAACGAAAGAAUAGACAUUUAUUGGAAGUGGUUCGUGCCUCUCUCUUUGGUGCCAAUAUGCCUCAGUCCUUUUGGGGAGAAGCCAUCCUCUCUGUAGCAUACCUUAUCAAUCGGAUUCCCUCCAGUAUCCUCAAUUUCCAAACCCCCUUCAAACACUCUACCACUAUCUCCAAAUACCUCAUACUAAAAACCUGGAACCCUGAAUCUUUGGCUGUGUGGUCUUCGUCCACUUACAUAAUUACCAACGCAGCUAAUUGGAUCCCCGCGCCAAAAAAUGUGUUUUCAUCGGCUGUGCACCUCAUCAGAAAGGGUAUUGAUGUUAUCAUCCUCCGAGUCAGAAAGUCUAUACUUCUAUGGAUGUUGUGUUCUGGGAAUCCGACAUAUUUUUCAGUCGUCCAGGAAGAGGAUCAAAAUGCCAAGACUUCAAUUUCUGAAUUUUUUCCUGCAGAAACGUCCCAGAUUGAAAACGACCGGUCGCCCAGCAAGAAUUGUACUCUGUGCAAAAGCGACCAGUCGCAAGUGGAAUUAACCGGUUGCCCCCCGAAAAUUAGACUCUGUGCAAAAACGACCGGUCGCCAGAAGACAGAGAUCGAUCGUCUCCCUGCUGUCAAACUCAGGAGGAGAUCAUCAUUGAGGAGGUUUUGCCCACACAGGAGAAUUCUUUAGCUCCAAUACCACACCAAUCACCUGCUGAGGACGUCAUUCAGGUAACAUCUUCUCCUGAAACUAAUAACAUUAAUGAAAUAUCCCAUGAUGAUUUAAUUUUAGAAGGCAUAGAGCCUGCAUAUUAGCUUCCAAAAUGAAAGAACCGUGGAAAACCUCCAGUUCACUACAAAGCAGAUCUUAAUGCAAAAAGGAAAUAUCUCAUCAACAAUUAUGUAUCUAUCAGCAGACUAUUAGAGUCACGGGUACACUUUGUGAAGCAGUUGGCCUACAUACCUAUUUCCAACAGUGUAACUGAAAUACUAGAAGACUCAAAAUGGAAAGAAGCCAUGAAUGAAGAAAUGCGAGCUCUCCAGAAGAAUGGCAUAUGGGAACUCAUGCCAUUACCUCAUGGAAAGAAGACAGUGGGAUGUAGGUGGAUUUAUACUGUGAAACUCAAAGCAGAUAGAUCUAUUGAAAGAUAUAAAGCUAGAUUGGUGGCGAAACGGUACACGCAAAGAUAUGGAAUAGAUUACCAAGAGACCUUUACCCCAGUAGCCAAGAUUAAAACUAUCAGAGCCCCUCUGUCUCUAGCCGCAAAUCUCGAUUGGCCAUUACAUCAGUUUGAUGUCAAAAAUGCUUCUUACAUGGAGACUUGGAAGAAGAAGUAUAUAUGGACUUGCCACUAGGAUGUAACUUAGCUCGUGACAAGGAGGAUCAAGUUUGCAAGCUCAGAAAGUCAUUGUAUGGGUUAAAGCAAUCCCCUAGGAUAUGGUUUGGCAGAUUCACUAAAUCCAUAAAUGUAACACCCCGACUCCAAAUUUAAUCCCUUAUUUAAAUUAUUUAAGUGAAAUUAUAAAUUUACCCUUGAUGUAGGGGUAAUUUGGUCAUUUUCUUACCCGAAAGGAGUUUGGGGCAGUGACUAGUAUUUUUGGGAAGGUCGUACUGAGAUGAGUCCGUAGACACGCGGUGGGCUCGAAUCGGAGUUGUAACGAGAGAGAUAUGGUUAAAAGAAACUCAGUGGCACAAUCAUAAUUAUUUCAAAAUGAGAUUUUUUUUUAUAAAAAUCAUAUAUAUAUAUAUAUAUAUAUCUCUCUCUCUCUCUCUCUCUCUCGCGUGCAUCGGCAGCCGGCCACAUUUUGGCCGGCCGUUCCCUCAUCCGGCCACCGAUGACGACGGGGCCGGUACCAAAAUAACCGAGGCGUCGUCCUCUUCCAACCCCAACCAAGUCCAGCCGCUAGCCGCCGUGGUUUCGCCGAAAAAUGGAGAAGAAGCGGCCGGUGUCGUCCGAACUUCUCCGCCGUCGAUCUCCCUCCUCCGGGCACCGAUUCCGACGAGUGAGGUAUGGUUUCUCACCUACUUUUCAUGCUCUAGCUGCCUGUUGGGUAAGAUUCGAUCGAUUCUUAGCAUAGGUAAUUCGAUUUACGAAUUGAAAUUUGGCCGGUUUUAGGAUCACGAUUCCGGCCACUUCCGGUCAGUUUUUGGGGUAGGUCCAAGAACAAAAGGGUGUUAUACAUAAAGUAGGAGUUUGAAGCCGUGAUUUUGUGAUUUUUCGGCGAUGCGUAAUCGCUUUGGGCACCCAGCACUGCCGGCGCGUGGGCGAGGGUAGUGAAGUUGCAAUUUGUCUCGAUGUGAUCCUUAGGUUGUCACGAGUGCGUAGGAUUUUGCGGAUCUCAAUUCAGAUACCGUUUGAGUCUCGAACGGAUAUCACCUAUUGCGCGUUAUCCGGGUUCGAUAGGUUGGGAACGUUGAAUGGUCUCAAAUUUAAUAUAUGUUAAUCUAGGUAUUUCUAGGAUCGUGUAGGAAUUCACGGAUUGUGAAUCAGGACCCCGGAUGUUCCGAUUAAAUAAUUUAAAGUUUAUGUUUUAUAUUAACCUUCAGAUCGUGCGAUCAUGAGCGAUCUGACUGUCCAAUCUAGACUAAACUUGCAGGACGAGUGUCCUAUACCUUGUAGAACCCAUAGGAACCUUCGGAUCGGAAUUUGGAGGUCGUGGGCCCGUAGGCCCGUUUGACCAAGUGUGGGUAGUUUGACUCUUGGUUGACCUUGAGUCUUUCGCGGUAGUUUUACCUUCCUAAAAGGAUCAUAAUGACCCUAAUGACAGGUCUUGAGCGUUGUUGAGCUGUGUUGACUAAGUUGGGAUUUUUAGAGUGUUUAUUUGUAUUAUAGGAAACUUUUAAAUAUUAUUUUAAAUAAUGAUUAAUCGUAUGGGGAUAUUAUGUGAUAAUAUGGUGAGGUCGCACGUGGCGUAGGUAAUCCGGCGUGUUGACAGGCCCCGUACAUGGCGUAUGGGGAGAUUAUGCCAUAAUAUGGUGAGGUCGCACGUGGUGUAGGUUAUCCAGCGGACAGACCCCAUACGUGGUGUUGGUAGUACCGACGUAUGGGGAGAUAAUGUGAAAUACUGAGAUAUGAAUAAAGUUAUUGCUUAUGUGUGGAAUUGGGCUUUAGGAAAGAACUACGUAUGGCUUGAUCACUCAUGAGGGUACGUAGGCAGCCUAAGGUUAUUAGGUGCAGUCGCGGACAUAGAUGUGAUUAUGUUAGGAGGUUAAAACCUCGUAUAUUUGGAUUGGAAAAGUUAAAAGAUGCAUGUUGAAAUUUAGUAGUCAUAAUUCAUAUUUGAAUUUAUCGUUUGCCUUGUUUAAGGCAUGAAUUGAUUUGUUAGCAUGCUUGGUAGUUGAGAAUUAUUGGAAGGUCGAAGGCCGAAAGUCGAAGGCCGUUUAUGUGAAUUGCAUGAAAUUAUGUUGUGCAUGCUGCCAGUUGUGGAUAUUAAAUGUGUUUUUAUGCAUGUUGAAAUUUUGGGCAAUGUUCAAUUUACAGGGGAGACUCUGCCGAAAUUUCAGCAGAAAGUCUCGUACCCUUAUUCCAUUUUGGAAAAAAGGGGUAUAGUUCUAGAAGUGGGUCCUGUCAAUAAAGAAUUUUCGGGAUUCGUCUCGGGUUUCGGGAAAUUCGGGGCGGGUCCUGUCAAUAAAGAAUUUUGGAUAUAUACAGAGUAAUGCAGAUCACACUUUGUUCUUGAAGCGUGAUGGAAGAAGACUUACUGUAUUGAUUGUUUAUGUGGAUGACAUAGUCGUAACUGGAAACGACACAGGAGAGCAACUGAAAUUGCAGAAGUAUUUGUCUCAGGAAUUUGAGAUGAAAGAUUUAGGUGAUCUGAAGUACUUUCUAGGAAUUGAAGUAGUCAGGUCCACAAUUGGUAUAUUUCUGUCUCAAAUAAAGUAUGUAUUAGAUCUGCUCACUGAAACAAGAAUGCUUGGAUGCAAACCUGUUGAUACACCCAUCGAGAUGAAUCACAAGUUAUGUGAAGACAUAGAUCAAGAACCAACCAAUAAGGAACAGUACCAACACCUUGUUGGAAGUUUGAUAUAUUUAGCUCACACAAGACCAGAUAUUGCAUAUACUGUGAGUGUGGUUAGUCAGUUUAUGCAUUCGCCCAAUGUUUCUCAUAGGAAUGCAGUUGAUCGGAUCUUAAGAUACUUAAAGUCAGCACUUGGGAAAGGGUUAAUGUUCUUCAAAAAUAGAGAUCUCGAAGUUGUUGGAUAUACAGAUGCUGAUUGAGCUGGCUCCAUUACUAAUCGACGCUCUACUUCAGGUUACUUCACUUUUGUGGGAGGUAACCUAGUCACUUGGUGGAGUAAGAAACAAAAUGUAGUUUCUUGAUCUAGUGCUGAAGCAGAGUAUCUUGGAAUGACUCAAGGAAUUUGUGAAUUACUAUGGAUAAGAAGACUAUUGAUAGAAUUGGGGUUCAAGCCAGAAAAGCCAAUGAAGUUACAUUGUGAUAACAAGUCAGCCAUCGAUAUUGCCCAUAAUCCAGUUCAACAUGAUCGAACUAAACAUGUUGAGGUGGAUAGACAUUUUAUCAAACAAAAACUUGAGAAGAAGAUUAUCCGCCUACCAUUCGUAAAAUCAGAAGAUCAAUUGGCAGAUAUCUUAACCAAAGCUGUUUGUGGAAGAGUAUUUUAUGAUUCACUUACCAAGUUGGGCAUUGGUGACAUAUAUGCACCAACUUGAGGAGGAGUGUUGACGUGAGUCUCCUAAUUAAUCAAGGAGAUUUACUUCCUUGAUUAAUUAAUGGAUUUACUUUCCUAUUUUUAUAUAGUUGAUAAAUCAUUGUAUAAUUAGAAGAUACUUUCCUAAAUUUUUACUGUAUCUAAUUCCUUGUAUAGCACAUGUAAACUCUUAUAUAUACCUCCUUAUGGAGAAGAAUAAAAAUAACCUAAUACAUUCAAACCAUAUUCACAUUUAAGCAUUCACCACAUCACUUCAUGGUGUCUUGCUCUUAAUAAUUUACCCAGAAGCUGCUCAUCUAUUUUAGAAGAAUCAAAUUAUGGGUCGAGAAAGGAAUGGAGGAUAUGCUGACCUUGAGAGGAAGUGCGGUGGUGGGACCAGGGCUUGCCAAGGUUGGAGUCACGUGUUAGGACAUAAUCCCAUUUGGGUCUCAUACUCUUUCCAACCCACUUACUAUCACCUUAGCAUUGCCUUAGUAUCAUCACCUAGCUAUUCCCACACAGAAUAACAACUUUGUCCUUUCCCUAUUUACAAGAAGUUUUGUUAAAGCAUUUGCUAGAGUAGAUCGUAGUGAAUUUCAUUAAUAAACAUAAAAAGAGACAUAUAGUUGGGAGGGGUGGAGGGGUGUAGGUGUGCGUAAUGAGCAUAUAUAUAUCUACAAAUACAAAAACUAAAAUAAAAACCAAAAGUAAAUGCAACGCAAUGCAAUACAAAACAAAACUAUUUAAAUAUAAAAUUUAGCCCUACGAGGCUUAGGAUUCUUAAAUUCCUAAAUUAUUGAUGCAUGGUCAAUAGUAUUGGCAAACCCUCUUUCAAUGUGGAGGAUCAUACAAUGAGCAAGAAAUUCAUCACAUACAGUGUUUCAAAGUCGAUUCAAUAAUUCUCAUACAUGCGAAAGCUCGUACCGUUGUUGCUGUAUAUAGGAACCAAGGAAAACAAGGCCGAAAAUUAUUCAUUCUAUCAAUUAGGAAAUAAGAAAAACAAAAUGCCUAGUUCUUUGCAACUGAGUACUCAAGUCAAGAGAAUUGGCCAAACCACUUUUUAUUAAAUCAACGUAAGAUUAUUUCUUCUAAGUGGCUUGGAUAAUGUUCUAACUCAGAUUGACAUGCCCCUAAAAGAAUAUAUGUUCUUCGCACAUUAUAUUGUUCUUUCACCAAAUAUUUGCACAUUAGAUGACAUACUCCUAGAUCAUCGUUCAAAAUAGUUGAUAUUUGUAUUAAUGAUUAACCAUCAUUCUUUUUCUUAAAAAAAGACAACAAGGUCUUAAUUUUCUUGGGGUUCCGAUUGUGAUCCGACAUAAUAAAAAAUAACCUAUAAAAUAAAUAAUAUGUAGAAAUGAUUUUAAUCAAACAUUUCAACAAAAAUACCAACACACAAAUCAAACAUCUCAACAAUACCAACAACAAAUUAAUGCAUUUAAUCAAACAUACCAACACACAAAUCAAACAUCUCAACAAUACCAACAACAAAUCAAACAUCUCAACAAAAUUCCUAAAAUCAAAGCCCUAAUUAAUUUCAACAAAAUCUCCAAAUUAUAAGUCAUUCCUAAUUAAACCCUAGAACAUUUUCUAUUCAAAUUAAAUAUGCAUAAGAUAAUUAAAAAGGAGAGAAUGAGAAGAAUACUUGUUGUUGCAAAGAAGAGAAGUUGUUGGCUGCAAAGAAGUUGAGCGGAGUUGCUGGCAAUUAUGUCUGUUUUGCAGAGGAGGAGAAGAACUACACAGGAGGAUGGGAUGGUAUGUUUGAUAGAUUUGUAUAGGUUUAAUUUAAGUGGGCUAGACAUAUGCAGUGUAGGUUAUAAUUUUUUUAACAAAAAUUUGUGGUGGGUUGUGAAUGAGCAGAGGGAGAGCUAUUUGCUCCACCAUUAGAGAUAGAGUGAGAAAAUUGGAGUUCAGCAAUUGGGUGUGAGGCUUUGGUACUACAAACAACUUCUCUUCGCAUGAUUGGACAAAACCCCGCAUGCUGAAACGAUAAUUUUUAUGAAUUAAAUAGGGAUGGCUGUCUACAUGGAAAUUUAUUAAAAGUGAGUGACAACAAUAAUAAUUCAUCCAGCAGGUGUUUAAAAGGAAUAAAAGUCCUUUUGAUGCAAUGGUUGUACUUAGAGUGUUUGUAUCAAACACUAAGACCAAGGAGUGAUAGUUCACUCAAUCUCAAACUCCUCAAAACUCAUGGCCUGUAAAAGAGUCAUGCCUGUGAUUAAAAAAGGGGGAAGGAGCAGAAAAGAGAACAGCUGCAGGAAGAAAAGAAAGACAACAAGCAUACUAGAGAAAUCAAAAGCCAUAUCAAGGUAAAAUCUUAGUUCUAUGGCACAGUUUUCUUGUUUGCUUAGGACUCCAGGUUUCGAUCAACCCAAGCGUCCCUGGCUAUGAUGAUUUCUAUCAUCAUAAAAAUACUUAGGGAUCUCUUUAAGACUUGGCUCCGCUCAAAUAUUCCAGUGAUGUUUUCAAACAACCAGUCCACAAUCAACAGGAGAUACUGUCUUGUAUGAUGAUUUCAAUCAUCAUAUAUUCUAUUCCAACAGGCAACAGCAAUUCGUGUGGAUUGAUUGUCAUGGUGGGCAAACCACCAAAAAAAUCAAAAUUGGUGCACAACUCUCUUGAAAAGGCGUAGAGGAAAUCCUAGAGUUCUCUAGGUUCUUCUUAUUACUGUUGCACCAUAAUAGCCAAAAUCGUUCAAUGAUGUUCAUCAUGAGACGGACAGCCGAAAAAAAAUAUAUGAAACGAAAGAAUCAAGGGCAGGUAAUUCAUGUAAUUAUCGAGAAGAAGUUCCAAGCUUUCCCACAACAAGAAGACAAUUUGGUUUGUGUUUGAUUAAAGCUCACUGCCUGGAGAUCAACGAUAUGCAAAUUAAAAAGGGAAGAAAGGUUUUGCUCUGAAAAAAGCACCAACCCAAGUUUAUGGGGAUGUUUUGCUCUGUUGAAGAUAAAAUAACAAUUAAAGUAAAGGAAAAAAUUAUUGGAUGUCUUGAUUGAAUAUCACGUGAUUUCGACACCCUCUUUUAAAAAUUCUAAUAGUCUUAAUGAAACACCACAGGACUUGUUUAGAUUAUUUAAAAGUCUUAAUUGAAUACCAAAAUACUUUUUUAUCCCAAAAUAGUCUUUCGAAAUCUCAAUUGAAUACACCCCCUAAUGGACAAACUAAAAAAGAAAUAAGCAAUCAAUUAUGUCAAUGCCAAACGAUACAAAUAGCUUACCCCGUCUGCCGUAUUUGCCUUUUCUAUUCAAUACCAAAUGUUGUAAAUGGCUAAUUAUUAUGACAUAAAUCACUAUUACCCGAUUUAAGUCAUAAGGGCAUCUUUGGAACAAAAAUAAUUUUAAAAAUAAAAAUAUAAAAAGAUUACAUUAGAAUGUAUUUAAAAAGGAAUGUAAUCUUAUGUGGCAGAAAAGUCAAAGGACUUAGAUCAAAGUCAUCAAAUCUAAGAAUUAACCACAACUCCUCAAUGAAAAUUUGUAUCUAUAUCAACUUUUUCUGUUCUAAUUUUCAAAUUAUAAUUAAAAGUAACUGUUUUUGGCUCUUAAAAGAACCAUCAUGUAUUUUUCCCUUAUAUAAUUACAAACGAUGAGUGCAAGAUGACAUUUUUUAUUGCCACUAACAGCUUCCAUUGACAAAAUCUUAGUUAUCAAUUUUCUUAGUUGAUCAAUAUCUCAGUCAUCAUUUAAGAAAUGAAAAAUAACAAACUUACCUUAACAUUUUAAUACAUGUAGAACAUAAGGAUAAUAAGAAUUAAGCCCUUCUAAUUUUUUGUUAAUUUUGAUCACAUGCCACCCACCCCCUUUAAUCAGUCCCGAGUGCCGACCAUGGCUUAAAUCUUAACUCCCCAAGUCACUUUGGCAUCGCAUAUAAAAAUUGCCAUGCCCAAACAAUUUUACAUAAUAAUUUUCCUCAAAAGGAAAUAUAUACAUAAUAAUACUAAUAAUGGAUUGGAAUUUGGAAUUUGGAAUCUUGGAGUGUAUCACUUCACAUACUUCUAGUCAAAACAUGUGUUGGGAUUUUAGAGCAUUUCCACCAGUUGCCUCUUGCCAUGGCAAGAUGAGCCCUAGGGCAGCCACUAUUCACGUGAAUAGUGGCUGCCCUAGCCCCCUCCAGCAAAAUGUGUUUCCAGCAGUUGGGGCUUGCCAUGGCAAAUACUAUUCAUUUUUUUAUUUUUUUUCACAACUUUAUUUACUUAAACAAUUAAUUUGGAUAAUAUUUUCGGAUAAGAUUUUUGGGUUCCUACGUGUCAAUAAUAUUCAUAUCGGAUUGUGGGUUGUUUAUUUUUUAUGCUUUGGUUGUGGUUUGUUUAUUUUUUUUAUGCUUUGGUUGUGGUUUGUUUUUUAUGUAUGGAAUGUUUUGAAUAAAAAGGAUUUUUGUUGAAUAUUUUCUUUAUUGACUAAAAGAAAAGCAAUACAACUAAUAAUAAAAUAAAAUACAUGAAUUAAACAAAAAAAACAUACAAUGAAAUCAAAGGCAAGUAAACUAAGACAUGAAAGGCAAACAAACUAUUUUAAUGGUUUUCAUCAUUUAACCAAUCCGUGUUGCUAGGUCCAUCGUCAUGAAAAAGUCUUCGUCUCAUAACAUCCCUUCGUUCUAGCUUCCAAAAUUGUUUUGUUUCAGGGGACAUAUGGCUUGUAUCCAUGGCCAUGGUUUCCCGAUUUUUUUUUUCAAUGUUUUGUUCGCGUACAUACUCCCUUUCUUUUGCAUAUUCUACUUGAAUAGCCAUAUCGUGCUCUUGUUGUUUCAAGUCCAUUUCAAUUCUCAUGGCUUGGUGCUUUGAAAGUUCCUCCAAAAAUUGAGAUGCAUUCUUGCUAGAAUUACCCCCUCUCUUCGCCUUCGCCGCCUUCCUCCCAAUAGGCCUUGGCUCAUUUUCAAUGGGUGUGUCUAGAUUCAUCGGGGAAUCCAUAGGUGAAUCCGAUGCCGGCGUCUCAUGAAGUGGAGUCUCGUUCAAGACUACCGUCGGACCGGUUGGACUAAUUUGGAAUCUCUUACAAGUCUUCACCACCUCCCAACAAUGGGUAUGGUUGAAACUUUUUUUCCCUUGCCCAGUAGCACCAAACCACAUUUGAGCUUGCAUAAUCUAUAAAAAAAAAUUAAAUGGAAAUGCAAGAAACUUUAAAAAAUAUUGGCAAUGCAACAUGUAAAAAAAAACUAAUGCAAAUUCAAUAAAUUUAAAAAAAAUGCAACAUGUAUAAAAAAAAACUAGAGACAUAUUAACAAAAUAUAUAAAUUGCAAGAAACAUUUAAAUAAAAAUUAAUAUGACAUAGAAAUUAAUAGAAGGAAAAUGACAAAUAAUUUACCUCACUGCUAAGGUUUUCUCCGCUUCGAUGCUUGUCCAUCGCUUUUGCUAAGGCAUUUCUCCAUUUCGCCAACUCUUUAUUAAGAACUUUCCACCCACUGGAUAAUGUCAUUUAUGUACGUGUAGAACCAAUUGCCCAUUCACAAAAUUCUUGAUGAAUUUUUUUCCACAUAUGAGAAAAUUUCAUCUCAUUGCCCGUUACGGGACAAUGACUAACUUGGACCCAAGCCUCACACAAGCUAACAUCUUCCAUCAUGCUCCAUGCCCCUCCAUUUUCAUUAGAACCCAUAAGAUGAUAGAAAAAAAAAUACAACUUCAAAGUGAAAAAAUAUUGAAUAGAAAGUGAAUAAAUUUUGAGGAGAAAGUGAACAAUAGUAGAAGGAGAAGAAAAUAUAUGAGGAUUUGGUGUUAAAAGUGAAGAGUAUUGGUUGGUAUUUAUACACAAAAAAUUCAGUAUUUUUUUAAAAAAAUUCAAAUUUUUUUCAAUUUUUUAUUGCAGAAAAAUUGGCUGCCGUUGGAUUGGAGAAAAAAUUCGAAUCGGAGCGACCAAAGGCUGCCACUUGUCAAGUAGCCGUUGGCGGCUACUGUAGCGGUGAAUUCGAAAUUUUUUUUAACGUUGGCGCGUGCAAUGCACGCGCCAACGGUAAAAAAAAAUUUGAAUUCGGGAGGGCUGACGCCACGAUGGCGUCAGCAAUGACGUCAUCGCCCUCGGGCCCGAGCUCGGGCCGAAAUCGCCUUCGGGCCUGCCCUGUCUGGUGGACCCCACGCUAGCCCGGGCUGUGAGGAGGGUGUUAUGUGGACUUGUUGCCUACCAAUAACACGCAGGCUUCUAGUUUUCUUAUUUUCUUAUCUUACUUUAGUAAGUCCAACAUAUGAAGAGCCAAAAAUGUCAAUUCUCUUGCUGUGCACACAAAACCAUAGAUCAUCUUUGUAAAAAAUUAGACAAAUCGAAAACCUUUUAGACAUUUAAUUGUGUCCUAUAAAAUCAAUGAACACGGUGUUUCAAGAAAAUAUUAAAAUUUCAAUAAUUUAAUUGAGUGGUCAAAUAAUAUUGAAUUUAAGAUAUUUUUUACAAACUUAAUCUUCGAAUGAAUAUCUAAAAAAUAAAUGAUUUGCAUUGAUGAAAUACAAUAUGGUGGGCUCUACAAGACAGAUUAUAAUGGAUUGGUCAAUCCCUCUCUACCAUCAGUUCACAUAUUUCCUGUGUCUACUUGCAUACCCAGUUCUGUGUCACUAUGCAGCCAUCUAUAGCUAUCUCCGUCAUGUGAGUCUUGGGCACCACGUUAGCCUACGUUCCAAGAAAAAUCCACAUUGACAUUUGACUCUCCAUUCUCUGACUACACUCCCUGAGUCGUCCACAAACUAAUCUCUCUCUCUCUCUCUCUCCCUCCUCUAUAUAACAUACAAAAUCCUGCGUUUCAAUACAAAACUCAGACCAUUCCAACAAAUAGCCCAUUUACCAGAAUUUCUGAGAGCCCCAACAAAAAGCUUCACAAAUUAUGGAGCUUUUUGAUUCUUCAAAGCACGGUACUCUCUCAGCCUUCUUCUCACACUACUCAUCAUCAUUCAUUACGUAUCCAGGUACCGAUUUUCUUCUCAAACCGGUUUUCAUACGUGGGUUUUCUGGCUCAUUACACCUAGUUUUGUUAUUUGUGUUGCUCGUCUCUUGGGUGUGGAAGAAAUUCAAGGUGGGUGAUGGAGAAGGUCCAAAACAGAGGUUUGGGAGUAUUCAAAGUUGGUAUUAUAAGCUAACUUUACUCUGUUGUCUUGGUGUUUCUGGGCUCAGUCUUGUUUUUUGUUUAUUGAACUACUUCUAUUGGCAUAGAAACGAUUGGACUGAGGAAAAGCUAGUGACCCUUUUUGAUUUAGCCAUUAGAACACUUGCUUGGGGUGCUCUUUGUGUCUACUUGCAUACCCAGUUCUCUAAUUCUUCUGAAUCAAAGUUUCCAAAUUUAUUGAGAGUUUGGUGGGGUUCCUACUUUUCUAUCUCUUGCUAUUCCCUUGU